rnacentral:lncRNA from 1 species
CUUGGCUGCUGGCACCAUGCGCGAUUCCUGACUGGUUUCCUUUAACUUUCCAUUUCAUAUUUUUCCCCCAUUGAAACAAAAAGCAUUUAAUGAAAUCUGACACGUGAAGGCCACCGACUGAUCUUCUGAACAGAAGAAAACAUGGACAAGGAACAUGCAAAGACCUGAAAGUGUUUACAGAGAAAAACCUACGGAGAAAGCCAUCGGAGAGAAUAAGAAGGGACGUUGCCACUCACGAAGCUGGGGUUG